CCAGGUUGAUCUUUGGCUGAAUGAGACACCAAGAAGGAGUCGACGGUAUCGCUGCAAGUGUGAAGCAAGAUGGUAUAUCCUCACGACGUGCGGGUACCGUUCUGCAGAACCAGGCGCGUGGUCUCUCCGCAGUCACGGACGCGGUAAGGAAACCACGCCGAAUCUGGCGGUGCUUGCAGAGACCUGAAAAAAGAAAUUGCAGGACUGUGUUUACUCAGUACUACUGGUAUCCUAAAAGAGGCUGCGAGGAGCACACUAGUUGCUACCCUGGGGGUUUCGUAAACAGGAUUGACUGUAUAGAACAAUGUGGGCAUCUCAAGAACUUGAAGCUACCAGGCUAUGGAAACCGCCCUAGGCAUGGCAACUAAAGAGGGGAGUGCCACAUGCAUUGUCAAUUGACAGUAAUAAAUCGAUGUAAUUC